CCGUCUCCGCCCACCCACCCACCGGCCGCCGCGCCGCCCCUCCUCCGGCGCCGUUCCUCUCCUCCAGAUCUCCCCCGCCCCCACCCCACACAUCGCCUUUUCCUCUCCCGAGCAUGCCCGGCCGCCGCCGCCGCCCCCCGUCCCCCGUUCGCUAGGGUUGAGGUCGCUGGGCCUCCUCCGGCGGCAAGGUGCUCGGCGAGGAUGAGAAGAACGCCGGGAACGUCUCCGCCCGGCCCGAGGUCACCGACACUGGCGCCCCGAGCACCUUCUCCUCAGGCGUCGCCGCCCCGUUCCUCUUAGACUCCGACGCUGCCGGCCACCUGCACCGCCGUCCUCUUCAACUCUUCUGCUUCGUCGACGGUCGCCACCACGCAUCGAGGCCCAAGUUUGGAGGAAGAAGACUCCCAGGGACACCUCCAACUAAAUUGCUCAUGGCCAAUUAUCCUCAGCCCACAUAGCACCUAGCACCGACGUGAGGUGUUAAGAAGAUGCCAGGGAACAAAAAGAACAACAAAGUUGUGAGACUUGGCAAUGUGAUUGAAAGGUUAGGCAAGUUGACGGGGGUCAUAAAGAAGGGCACCGGUGCGACACGUUCCACACAGGUAGGCAGGGCCAAACCCGCACAACGAGCCACGGUGGAUGGUACCCAGGGUAGACGAAAUGGUCGUACCCUUGUGUCCCGUGUUGCUAGCCCUAUCCCCUCUGCCCAUUCUGAGGAGGAGUCGGAGGAGGAGAGGGAGGAGGAGCUAGUUAUGGAGGAGAGGGAAGAGGAGGCAGAGGAGGAGGGGGAGGAGGAGCUAGUUGUGCAGGAGGAGUUGGAGGAGGGAGAGUAUGAGGUGGAGGAAUCGGCAAAGCACAUGGAAUGGCCGGUUCCUAAGGAGACCAAAAUCUAGUUGCGUGGGGUGUCCACGCUGCCUUCGCGACCAUAUCCACAUAAGGGGAUCAUUGUUAAACCAGUUGGUGUGAGGGCCUUGGUGGUUAUUCCAGAAGGCACAAUCCCGCCAUGACAGCCAAGCACCAUCAUUAGAUGUCUUUGUAGGCAUUAUUAACCCGGCCUGGUUCCCAUAGGAGACGGUGAGGAGGAGCCAGCUUGGUCUUGGGAGCAUUGGAAACGCGCUCCAGAUACGAAAGACAAGUGGGACAGGGAGUACCGCAGUGCUGCUGAGCGGGUGGUCAACGAUUUUUGGGACUUCUUUACUUGCGUUGAGGGUAUGGAGGAUGAAGCUAAUGAGGUCGUGGAGGAGAUUGCCAAGAAGAUUGUCCAAGACAUGCCUUACGAGGCUCGCGUCAAUGCUGUGGUAAAGUAUUUCGCGCAUGAACGCAAGAUCCUUCUUAAAAAGCCGCUAGCCCGGAGAGUGCAUCUCACCCGUUCCAUGUACAUGAAGGCGGUUCCCCCGUGGUGCAACAACAAGAUUCCUUGCUACUAGCAAAUCAUAUCUAGGUGGAUAAACCCAGAGUGGAGGGCCACACGCAGAGCAGCUUCGGAGCGACGUGCCUUGAUGGGUGGUCCGGUACACCUUCAAGGCAACCUCAACCUCCAUGCUUACGUGCAGAAGAAGAAUAGGGAGAGAGGUGAGGGUGAAGAGCCGCUCAAUACCUUCACGGGAUUAUGUCUCUCCCGCAAGUCAAAGAAACUGGAAGGGGGGUGGGUCAACCCAAGGGCUGGGUUGAGGAUUGAUGCAUAUAAUGGGAAGUUCAAGGAGUGCAACGGGCCCAACUCUGAUCCAGCCUCACAUGACAUUGAUGUUACGGUUUCCCUCAAGUCGGGACAAGGCAAGAAGCGUGGGCGGUUAUAUGUUGGUGACGGUUCCAUCCGUAAGAAGGACAUUCCAAAACUUGCCCACCUCCGUGCUACCACGUCGAGCUCAGGCUCGCCUAGAGGAAGAAAGCAGGUUGCGGCAGGAAGAAACCAGGUUGCGGCUGGAGGCUCAGGCCAAUGCCCUACUUCAACAGGAGCAAGCCAUGAAAAUGCAGCAAGCCCUGUUUCAGCAGCAGGAAUUCAUGGUUAAACAGCAGGCGGCCCUGCAGGAGACGUUCGCUCGGUUCAGUACUAAUAUGCAGGGUUCUACUUUGCGGAUCUUCCUCCUGUUCCGCCGCUUCCUACUUUUAGCUUUUGUCCUCGAUCGGGAGAAGACUCCAAUAACUUUGUGGUAGGUGGAUCUACACCUGCCCAAGCAAGCCCAGUGACACCCACUGCGGCUCAUGGUGCUUCAACCUCCACACCACAAUGAUCACUCGAGGUUUGCAUCGUGGAUGUCAUCAAUGGUGGGCAUACAUGCUGUGGUGGAAGCUGAUUGCAUCUUUUAGGUUGAACUCAUGCUAGGUGUGAACUUGGAACUCAUGAUUCCAUUUGUGGACUCUUGUUGCAUUUGUAGGUGAACCCUUGUUGAAUAUGUACGCUUGUGGACUUUGAACUCAUGGCCCUUUUGUUUGUGAACUCUUGUUGCAUAUGUACACAUGUUUUUGUGAACCUUCUUUGAAUAUGUAUGCAUCUGUGGACUACUCAUGGUUGGUUUGU